rnacentral:rRNA from 1 species
UACAGGGGGUGCAAACGUUGCUCGGAAUUAUUGGGCGUAAAGCGCACGUAGGCGGUUUGUCGCGUCUGCCGUGAAAGUCCGGGGCUCAACUCCGGAUCUGCGGUGGGUACGGGCAGACUAGAGUGAUGUAGGGGAGACUGGAAUUCCUGGUGUAGCGGUGAAAUGCGCAGAUAUCAGGAGGAACACCGAUGGCGAAGGCAGGUCUCUGGGCAUUAACUGACGCUGAGGAGCGAAAGCAUGGGGAGCGAACAGG